AAAAUUCACUUGAACGAAAACAAAAACAACGUCGAAAUGGAGGGAGAAGGAGGAGGUGCUGCGGCCCAGCAGGCAGACACGGAGAUGGCAGAGGCGCCAUCAGACCCUCAGCAGCCACCGGCGGCGGGGAUCGAGAACAUCCCCGGCGACGUUGAGCCACGGGAAACGAUUUAUUCAGUACAACAUACUUGGGAACAUAUUUGAAGUGACGGCGAAGUAUAAACCGCCUAUUAUGCCCAUCGAGAAGGGCGCAUAGGCAUCGUUUGCUGCUCUCUCACUGACUCACUUGUCUCAGUCGGUCUCAGUGUUGUUAAAGAGUCUUUUUUUAGCACGUGGGUUUGUUUUGUUCCGAUGUGUUUUGAUUUAUGAGUGUGAGUUUUAUCUGGAUUUGGAUGAUUUUUGAAGGUUGUGUUGUGCGGUUUUUAUUAGGUAGUGAAAUUUUGUAUUUUUAUGUUGGUGGGUGUAGAUUUUUUAUUAAGGUAUUUGAAGCUGUUACAUGUUGAAGAUAAGUUAAAUGUGUGGCUAUUUGCUUCAAUAUAAGCUAAGAAGAAGAAAGAGAUUAUUUUAGAAGGUAAAAAAUUAUCAAAACUGAUUUUUUGCGUAUUAGCUUUUAGAAAGAUGUAGUUCGAUGGAAGUUGCACUUCUGUGUAUAGGAAUUUGUAGUCAUUUCUUUGAAGAGAAAUGAAAAAAAUGUCAAUCUGAAGAUUGAAUUUGUAGUGUGUAAAGAAGUGAUGCUAGUUGGAAUUGCAAAUCUUUUGGUGAAAGUUUGGCUAUUUUAAGUGAGUGAGUGUGCAUGUAGUUUUGUUUGUGGAUGGUAUGUUUUCUGGUUCUUUUUAUGGAUUUUGAGUUUUAUCUGUAAUGAGGUUGUUUGGAGUGUUUCCUUCUCUUUUUUCUUUCGUUGGGAAAUGUAUUGAGUAAUUUCUAUUGGCUGUUCAUUAGUUCGGCGUUGAAUUCGGAAAUGAGCAUGUGGCAAUAAAGAAGACAGCAAAUGCAUUUGAUAUUAAGAUUGAUGCAAAGAAGACUCUUCAUGAGAUCAAUAUAGAAGGCGAUGUAUUAUUGGUAUGUUUGUUUGUAAGGGUUUCACUUGCUUCUGAGGGGCCAUUUUAUCAAUAUAGAAGGUCUUAUAUUUGGGCUUAUGAUCAAGAACUUUUAUCUCCUUUUUCUGUUCCUGCAUGCGUUGCCACAUAGGAUCGUCCUUCGCUGGGGCUAUUUGUGCACUAUUAAUGGGAAAAAGUUUGAUCAUUUUCUUCUUUAAGCAUAUGCCAUAUUGAGAUAUAUUAUUUUGAAUUUUCUCCUUCCUGGAAUAUUGAAGAACUCUUUUAGGAGUUGGAUAGGAAAUGUUUUUGAGUACAUAGAUUGGUUAGUAUUAUUCUUUGGCUCUUUCCUGCUUGAUGUGGACUUCACAAUGGACAACAAUAAAAGGGCUAGUGAAGGAGAAUGUCAUCCACUCAUCAUAUCAAGAUUUCUUUUUCUCUAACAUCAUUGUAGUGGCUUUGACUUCUCCUUGGGGAGGUUAAUUUUGUGGAGUUCCAAUACUUCAUUGUUUUGUUUUUGAUAUUUUCUAAUGUCGCUUUUUUCUCUUUUUGGCUCCAUUUUCUGGUAUUAUAGUCCUUGUUUGACCCUGGAGCCCUGUAUAUUUGUUUACAAUCAUCAUGCAUAUUUAUUAUUCUUCAGUAAAAAAAAUAGAAGUAAAUUUAUCUAUAGCCAAAGUAGCAUUUUUUUACAGGUUGUUGCAAUGAGGAAUAUAAUUCUGCUACUCCAAAGGGAUUUGUUUAAUGAUGUUUAUAUUGCAUAUGAGCUCAUGGAUACAGACUUGCAUGAGAUAAUUCAGUCCAAUCAAGCAUUAUCAGAGGGACACUGCCAGGUUAAUUUGAAUGUUAUCACCCUUGAUUAGGAGGCCUUUUCCAGAUUUAGAUGUAGGUUGAUGCAUGAUUAGUUACCCAAAUGGCUAUUAAUGUGUAUUAGCACACAAGUACAAUCGGCAAGGGGACUUGGAGCUGCUAAUUAAGUGGAAAGAAUUGCCUACAUGUGAAAAUUUAUGGGAACUCUAUAGCAAACUCAUAUAUAGCUCUUUCUGGCAGUGCACCUUGAGGACAAGGUGCCUCUCGAUGGGUAGGAAAAUUUUAGGGCAAAGGUCUAUGUGAGGAGGAAAGAAAGGAACAGAGCUGAAGCUGGAGAGACAGGUGGCCGAAUUGAGAAGCAAACAGAUGGCAAUCAUCCUGGAGCAACAGAUGGCAGUCAUCCAGAAGGAAGGCAAACAAGAGACAGCCAUGAAGAAUUAGUGUCCAGGCCACCAAAUGAAAGGAUCACUGAGAUCUUUAAUGCUGAGGUUGCAGCACAGAAGGAAGGAGGUAGUUAUGGAAGGAAUGAUGAAAUAGGCUCUGGAGUGGGAAAAGAAAAGGCAGGCAGAAAAUUAGAGAAAAAGACUAGGGUGGGAGAGACCAGCCUCUCAAAUGCUGGAGUUUAUGUUUAUGUUUCUGUUAUUUAGGAUUGCAGUGGUAGUAGUAUUCUGAGUUGGAAUACUUAUAUUGUUGAUGAACUUUAUUUGUAUUUCUGGAGAAUAUUAUCAAUACAAUCAGUCUUGCUACUCA